rnacentral:rRNA from 1 species
CCUACGGGAGGCAGCAGUGGGGGAUAUUGCACAAUGGGGGAAACCCUGACGCAGCGACGCCGCGUGGGUGAAGAAGUAUUUCGGUAUGUAAAGCCCUAUCAGCAGGGAAGAAAGAAGACGGUACCUGACUAAGAAGCCCCGGCUAACUACGUGCCAGCAGCCGCGGUAAUACGUAGGGGGCGAGCGUUAUCCGGAUGCACUGGGUGUAAAGGGAGCGUAGACGGCCGUGCAAGCCAGGAGUGAAAGCCCGGGGCCCAACCCCGGGACUGCUCUUGGAACUGGGCGGCUGGAGUGCGGGAGGGGCAGGCGGAAUUCCUGGUGUAGCGGUGAAAUGCGUAGAUAUCAGGAGGAACACCGGCGGCGAAGGCGGCCUGCUGGACCGCGACUGACGUUGAGGCUCGAAAGCGUGGGGAGCGAACAGGAUUAGAUACCCUUGUAGUC